GCAUAUCAAUAAGCGGAGGAAAAAGAAACCAACAGGGGAUUGCCCUUAGUAACGGCGAAGUGAAGCGGCAACAGCUCAAAUUUGAAAUCUGGCCCUAGGCCCGAGUUUGUAAUUUGCAGAGGAUGCUUCGGGCGCGGUGCCUUCCAAGUCCCCUGGAACGGGGCGCCGGAGAGGGUGAGAGCCCCGUACGGUUGGCGGCCAAGCCUGUGUGAAGCUCCUUCGACGAGUCGAGUAGUUUGGGAAUGCUGCUCUAAGCGGGAGGUAGACCCCUUCUAAAGCUAAAUAUAGGCCAGAGACCGAUAGCGCACAAGUAGAGUGAUCGAAAGAUGAAAAGCACUUUGAAAAGAGGGUUAAAUAGCACGUGAAAUUGUUGAAAGGGAAGCGCUUGUGACCAGACGUGCGCCGGGGUGUUCAGCGGGCGUUCUCGCCCGUGCACUCGCCUCGGCGCAGGCCAGCGUCGGUUCGAGUGGGAGGAUAAAGGCGUCUGGAAUGUGGCUCCUCCGGGAGUGUUAUAGCCAGACGUGCCAUGCUCCCGCCCGGACCGAGGUACGCGUUCUGCAAGGACGCUGGCGUAAUGGUCUCCAGCGACCCGUCUUGAAACACGGACCAAGGAGUCGAGGUUUUGCGCGAGUGUUUGGGUGUUAAACCCGCACGCGUAAUGAAAGUGAACGUAGGUGGGAGCUUCGGCGCACCACCGACCGAUCCUGAUGUUUUCGGAUGGAUUUGAGUAAGAGCGUAGGGCCUCGGACCCGAAAGAUGGUGAACUAUGCUUGGAUAGGGUGAAGCCAGAGGAAAACUCUGGUGGAGGCUCGCAGCGGUUCUGACGUGCAAAUCGAUCGUCAAAUCUGAGCAUGGGGGGCGAAAGACUAAUCGAACCAUCUAGUAGCUGGKUWMCSSCGA
rnacentral:rRNA from 1 species